GUGACCUCAAAUCAGGUAGGACUACCCGCUGAACUUAAGCAUAUCAAUAAGCGGAGGAAAAGAAACUAACAAGGAUUCCCCUAGUAACUGCGAGUGAAGCGGGAAAAGCUCAAAUUUAAAAUCUGGCGGUCUUUUGGCUGUCCGAGUUGUAAUCUAGAGAAGUGUUAUCCGCGCUGGACCGUGUACAAGUCUCCUGGAAUGGAGCAUCAUAGAGGGUGAGAAUCCCGUCUUUGACAUGGACUGCCAGGGCUUUUGUGAUGCGCUCUCAAAGAGUCGAGUUGUUUGGGAAUGCAGCUCAAAAUGGGUGGUAAAUUCCAUCUAAAGCUAAAUAUUGGCGAGAGACCGAUAGCGAACAAGUACCGUGAGGGAAAGAUGAAAAGAACUUUGGAAAGAGAGUUAAACAGUACGUGAAAUUGCUGAAAGGGAAACGCUUGAAGUCAGUCGCGUCGUCCAGGGAUCAACCUUGCUUUUGCUUGGUGCACUUCCUGGUUUGACGGGUCAGCAUCAAUUUUGACCAUUGGAAAAAGGUCAAGGGAAUGUGGCAUCUUUGGAUGUGUUUAUAGCCCUUGGUCACAUACAAUGGUUGGGAUUGAGGAACUCAGCACGCCGCAAGGCCGGGUGUUACACCACGUACGUGCUAGGAUGCUGC
rnacentral:rRNA from 1 species